rnacentral:rRNA from 1 species
UACGAAGGUCCCAAGCGUUGUUCGGAAUCACUGGGCGUAAAGGGAGCGUAGGCGGCAUGGUAAGUCAGAUGUGAAAUCCCGGGGCUCAACCCCGGAACUGCAUUUGAUACUGCCGUGCUAGAGUAAUGGAGGGGUAGCUGGAAUUCUCGGUGUAGCAGUGAAAUGCGUAGAUAUCGAGAGGAACACUCGUGGCGAAGGCGAGCUACUGGACAUUUACUGACGCUGAGGCUCGAAGGCCAGGGUAGCGAAA